rnacentral:misc_RNA from 1 species
CUCCAGGAGCAUAAAAAAACAUGGGAUGUUUGUAUAAAACUGUUCCUGCGUAUACUUUAUAUAGAGCAAUAAGUACACACAUUUUUUAUUUCAAGAACACACAUUUUUCUUGCUAACAAGGGGGAAAAAAGCCUGACCCACUAAGCACGCCAUUCAGAUUCCAUCCUUACACUAACGUCUUAUAGUUACAAAAAAGUUAAUGUUCUCUAUGGAUUUUCCACAACUACCAAACCCUUAACACAACUCACCUCUUCUCACCACAUAAAUAUCUAGCAGCUUGUAGAGCAAAAUAUGUUAAGAUGAUGUCAGCACCAGCCCGACGGAGACACAUCAACGACUCCAUCAUCACUCUUUCUUCAUCAAUCAUGUUGAGAACUCCGCCAGCCUUAAUCAUCGAGUAUUCACCUGACACCUGGAUUUGUAAAAUUUGAAGAGAAUACCUUACAGAAAAGAAUUAACAUAACAGGAAAAGCAUGUAGGAUGUAGAGAACAGUAUAUGAAAGGGUUACUUGGUAAGAAAAGAAAUAGCACAACAAACAAAUGUUCGUGAAGUAUAUACACCAAACCCCAUCUUUUUUAUUCUACCUCACAGUGGAAGAGUUAUUGUUUUGCCUAUUAACUGAAAUUUAAUUAAAUUCUAAAGCAAUCUUCCUAUUCAUAUUCAUAAAAGGCCAUCUUCCUAUUGAAAAUAAAUGCAGACACUUGACAUAGGCAAGGGACAAGCAGUCAACAAUGUUGAGCUUGGCGAAUAACCAGGAACAUGGCGACAUUUGCAAACUUGUCUUUCUACCUAUUUCUGACUAAUAAUCAACUACACUCAAGCAUACCUUAAUCCCAAACUAGUUAGGGUAAGCCACACAGUUUCUUUUCCUCAUUUAGCUUUGUUUACGUAUAAAAUGCACAUGUGCAGAAGGUACUAAGCCAUACCCCAUAACUAGAAAAUAGAAAUUUUAUAAUGUGCCUGAGGCAUACAAAAUCAACUGCUAUUCAAAUUUCUUAUUUUUACAGGCAGACAUAAACAGUGGCAUGAGCUUCACAGUUCAACAGAAAUUUAAGACCUGCAGGGAAGACUGAAUCAAUCAUUUCUGCAGGGAGAAAUUUAAGGCCUCAGAUAAGAUAGAAAGCAAAACAAAAAUAAAAAAUAAAAAACACACUAGAAAAGACAAAUUUGAUAGACACAUCUAACCCAAAUAAGUCUACCCAGGUUAAGUAAACCCUUCACUAGCAUUAUAUUAAUACAAAUUCCCGUCUUGUUCUUAGAACACAACAAAUUCUAAAGCAUUGAGAAGUCUCAAACGAUUUACAAAUACUUAUAUCAGGGAUUACAUUUAACCAAUCCCAUUACACGAUCAGGUAAUUCACUUUCAAUUGUUGAAGUCCACGUGAUUGAAGGCAAGUUGGGCAGUUUUCAGCUUCUUGAUCUCUUCAUGAGCAAUUUGUGUCAUAACUCGCGAGUCCCAGCAACUCUGGACCUUCUAGUCGAGGAUUAUUCUCAAAGUUGUUCAAAGGUAUAUGCUCAAAUGGCCCGCUGGUGGGAAUUGUUCCACAUAAAUCAUUGUUUGAGACAUCCCUGGAAAAAGAUGCCAAACUUAGAAUGAAGACAAUUCAACAAAAUAAAUGGUGAAUGUAUGUUCAUUUAGAAAAUUUUUUUUCUUUAAGAAAGGUGGGGGGAGGGGACAAAGUAAACACUUAGUUACUUACACAACUUUGAGGCUUGAAAUACCUACAAGUUCCCUUGGGAUUGGUCCAGUUAGUCGAUUGUCAUUAAGACGUCUGUCAACAGAAAGUUAAUGAAUGGGCUAGAAGCCAUAUAUUGCACUAUGACAGGAACUAGUUACAAGAGGUGCCCCAUGCAAGGCAGACAUUAACUUAAAUAUGUUAUUGUAACAAACUUUUAAUCAACGUUCAACUUCAGUGACAGCCAACUCAACAGGAAAGAGAAGUAGCUUAUCAACCAUACCAAGCAAAAGUAAAUUCACUUGGCACCAUAAUUUGAGGACCUUGUAUGAUUAUGCUAUUGACACCAUUUUUAAUUCUCCAAAUUAACAAGUGAAUUUAGGAAGCAAAUUCACUGAAUUUUCCAAACCAAUAGGGAAAAAUGCAUUAAAGUUAGAGUAGCAUCAACUCACAAAAAGACAAGGGACUUCAAUUUCCCCAGAGAAGUAGGAAUGAUCCCUGAGAUGUUGUUGUUGUACAAAUCCAAGCUCACGAGGUUCCUCAAGUUACCAAGCUCACUAGGGAUGCUUCCUUGAAUAUUGUUUUUAUAGAGUUCCAGAUAUUGCAGGUGUUCUAGCUUCCCAAGUUCACGUACUAGAUGUCCAGAUAAGUUUGAGUUCCCUAAAUCCCUGUAGAAAAUAUGAGAUCGAAGAAAUGUGACCACAUAACACAAAUGGUCUUUUCAAAUAAAGAAGGUGAAACGCCAUAAUAGGCACAAGAAGAAUACAAAUUCUAUAUUAGCCUACCAAGUAGUUGAAUGGCUGUCUAAAUUCGAUAAACCACAAGCUAUGGCCAGAUAAAGCAAUAUGUUUUAAAAGCACUAAUGCCAGUUUGUGGUAUAAAAUAAUACUAGUAAUAAUAAAUUAUAAAGUGGGAUAAGAUGAUUUUGGUUGCAAGUCUACGAUUCAAGAGCACAUAUGGAUAUAAGCUAAUCAUCCCAUCAACCCAAUUCCCCCAACUACAGCAAAUAAAAACUAAGCAAAUAGUUGCUAGACUCGCUGCUGCAUUAAUUCUGAACGAACUCGGGAAUUUUGAUUUCAAACAGAAUCCUAUAAGAGGGAAAAUUGACGUUAAGUUUUCUAGCAACCCAAUUGAAUCAAACACUUCAAACAUGUGCAAAAAAGGCUAAUUAGUAGAGGCAAAAAACAGAAAAUCAAAAAAGGAAAGAGCAAAAAAUUCAAAUACAAGAAGCAAUCAGGCUCAAACUAAAGCACCAAACCACCUAUUCCGAGCACAGUGGAUCCAAAUCAAAGCUCAAAGGGGCGUGCAUAUAGAUAAAAAGAGAGGAAGGAGUGGAGUUGAAGUACACUCGAGUAACACGAUUAUCCUGGUUGCAGGUGAUGUGGAACCAAGUACAGGGGUUGACAAGGGUCGGAUCCCAGCUCUGGAGGACAUUAUCCGGAUCCGACAAGCUCUUCCUGAGGGUGUAAAGAGCGUCUCCUUCGGAGUUACCAUUCGCUACGGAAACUAGGGUUACAGUUAGUGUCACAGUCAGAGAAGCUGAGAGAGUCCACGGCCAGGACGCUGCCGCCAUGGUUGACGACUGAAUUGAGGGAGUCAGUGGGGUGCGGUGCCUUCUAGGGUUGGGUCCGUU